UUGAAUUGAAGCCCCAGUAAACGGCGGCCGUAACUAUAACGGUCCUAAGGUAGCGAAAUUCCUUGUCAGGUAAGUUCUGACCCGCACGAAAGGCGUAACGAUUUGGGCGCUGUCUCAGCUGUAGACUCGGUGAAGUCUUAGUACCUGUGAAGAUGCAGGUUACCCGCGACUAGACGGAAAGACCCCAUGGAGCUUUACUGUAGCUUGAUAUUGGACUUUGAUGCAAGAUGUACAGGAUAGGUAGGAGACUGAGAGACAUGCACGCCAGUGUGUGAGGAGUCAAUGUUGGGAUACUACUCUUCUUGUAUUGGAGUUCUAACCGGAUGCCAUGGAACUGGCAACGGGACAGUGUCAGGUGGGCAGUUUGACUGGGGCGGUCGCCUCCCAAAGAGUAACGGAGGCGCCCAAAGAUACCCUCAGCUUGGAUGGAAAUCAAGCGCAGAGUGCAAAGGCAUAAGGGUGUUUGACUGCGAGACCUACAAGUCGAGCAGGGACGAAAGUCGGGCUUAGUGAUCCGGCGGUGCUGAAUGGAAAGGCCGUCGCUCAACGGAUAAAAGCUACCCUGGGGAUAACAGGCUGAUCUCCCCCAAGAGUUCACAUCGACGGGGAGGUUUGGCACCUCGAUGUCGGCUCAUCGCAUCCUGGAGCUGAAGUCGGUUCCAAGGGUUGGGCUGUUCGCCCAUUAAAGCGGUACGCGAGCUGGGUUCAGAACGUCGUGAGACAGUUCGGUCCCUAUCUGUCGUGGGCGUAGGAAGUUUGAGAAGAUCUGUCCUCAGUACGAGAGGACCGGGAUGGACAUAUCAAUGGUGCACCAGUUGUCACGCCAGUGGCACAGCUGGGUAGCUAAAUAUGGAAGGGAUAAACGCUGAAGGCAUCUAAGUGUGAAACCCACUUCAAGAUGAGACUUCCCAUUACGCAAGUAAGUAAGACCCCUUAAAGACGAUAAGGUUGAUAGGUCAGGAGUGUAAGCAUGGCGACAUGUUCAGCGGACUGAUACUAAUAGGUCGAGGACUUAACCU
rnacentral:rRNA from 1 species